rnacentral:rRNA from 1 species
AUUGAACGCUGGCGGCAUGCCUUACACAUGCAAGUCGAACGGCAGCACGGGGCAACCUGGUGGCGAGUGGCCAACGGGUGAGUAAAGUAUCGGAACGUACCAUUCAGUGGGGGAUACCGUAGCGAAAGUUGCUCUAAUACCGCAUAUUCUCUCCGGCGGAAAGCAGGGGAUCGCAAGACCUUCCGCUGAUUGAUCGGCCGGUAUCAGAUUAGCUAGUUGGGGAGGUAAAGGCUCACCAAGGCGACGAUCUGUAGCGGGUCGGAUGAGGAUGUUCCGCCACACUGGAACUGAGACACGGUCCAGACUCCUACGGGAGGCAGCAGUGGGGAAUUUUGGACAAUGGGGGCAACCCUGAUCCAGCCAUGCCGCGUGAGUGAAGAAGGCCUUCGGGUUGUAAAGCUCUUUCGGCCGGGAAGAAAUCGCAUGGGUUAAUACCCUGUGUGGAUGACGGUACCGGAAUAAGAAGCACCGGCUAACUACGUGCCAGCCGCCGCCGUAACAC